UCUGCAACUCGACUACAUGAAGCUGGAAUCGCUAGUAAUCGCGAAUCAGAAUGUCGCGGUGAAUACGUUCCCGGGUCUUGUACACACCGCCCGUCACACCAUGGGAGUCAGUAACGCCCGAAGUCAGUGACCCAACCGAACAGGAGGGAGCUGCCGAAGGUGGGACCGAUAACUGGGGGUGAAGUCGUAACAAGGUAGC
rnacentral:rRNA from 1 species